AUUGAACGCUGGCGGCAGGCCUAACACAUGCAAGUCGAGCGGAUGAAGGGAGCUUGCUCCUGGAUUCAGCGGCGGACGGGUGAGUAAUGCCUAGGAAUCUGCCUUGUAGUGGGGGAUAACGUCCGUACACGGGCGCUAAUACCGCAUACGUCCUGAGGGAGAAAGUGGGGGAUCUUCGGACCUCACGCUAUCAGAUGAGCCUAGGUCGGAUUAGCUAGUUGGUGGGGUAAAGGCCUACCAAGGCGACGAUCCGUAACUGGUCUGAGAGGAUGAUCAGUCACACUGGAACUGAGACACGGUCCAGACUCCUACGGGAGGCAGCAGUGGGGAAUAUUGGACAAUGGGCGAAAGCCUGAUCCAGCCAUGCCGCGUGUGUGAAGAAGGUCUUCGGAUUGUAAAGCACUUUAAGUUGGGAGGAAGGGCAGUAAGUUAAUACCUUGCUGUUUUGACGUUACCAACAGAAUAAGCACCGGCUAACUUCGUG
rnacentral:rRNA from 1 species